AAGUUUUGUUUAAGAGUUCAAAAAUGAUUUAAAGACUUUAUAAAAG
rnacentral:sRNA from 1 species